AGAAAGCCUGCAAAGUAGGCAGACAGAUUCUGCUUGCUUACCUCUCCUGAUGGGGGGCUCACUAUCUACUGGGAAGCUCAUCCCACAUCUGCACAGCAAGUUGGGAAAGAAAUUAAGUGUUUAUGGGUGAGAUACAGCAAUGGAAGAAAACAGAUCAGAACCAUCCCCAAGGAGCUGAUAUUCCAGGGAGGGACACAGACAGUACACAAGGGGUGCACACCUGUCAUCCUAGGACUCUGGGAGGAAGAGGCAGGAGGAUCACAAGUUCAAGUUCAGUCUGGGCAACUUAGAGAGACACUGUUUCUAAUUAAGAGGAAAAAAGGGGAAAGGAUAAAAAGGGUUGGAGAUGUAGCUCAGUAUAAAAGCCCUGGUUCUGUGUAUCAUGUUAGAAACAGCAAGCACCAGAAGAAAUAAAGUAGGGAUGUGUCAAAGGUGUUUGGGUGGAGUUCUAGAAGGAAAGGGUGAUGGAGACUGUCUCUCUCUCGCUUUUCGCUGGAACGUGCCCUCUAGGGACACUCUGAGACCCUGCUUUGCCCGCUGUGCCCGUGGCCAUCUGCUUCCACCUCUGGGGACAGCCCUGCCCUUUGGAGCAGGCCGACUCCUACCAGAAAAGGCUGCAGCCUUCUGGUCUCCCUGCCUGGAGCUGACCACCUACUGAGGCCGGCAGGGGUUAUAAACCUCCACCUCCAGGAAGAUCCCUUCCAGCUGUCACCUGCCAAGGAGCUCACCAGCUCCUGAUGUCGGGAGGUGAGGAUCUUGGCUGCAACAAAACCAAACGAGGCAAGGACAAGGAUGAGAACGUGCUGCAAGCUGAGAGCAGGGCCAGGAUCGCACGACCAAUGGGAGCCAUUCCAAAAGCUGCUGCGUAGACAGUGGGGAUAAACGCGUCGAAUGUCUGUGUAGCCACGUGGUGGUCCUGGUGGCAUCAGGGAUAAGUGACCAGAUACACCAAGCCUCAAGGCCCACAGAUGCAUGACCCUGUCCUGUACACAGGGUCUCACUAUGCAGCCCAGGCUGGCCUCCAAUGUUUGGAUUCUCCUCUCUCAGCCUUGCAAGUGUUAGGAUUACAGGUGAGAAAUGGGCCCGUCAGGACACCAUGACACACAGAGGCAGGAAAUGGCCAAGCCCCGAGCUGGGCCAGCUUCCCACGGGGCCUGCCAAGGGAUAUUCGAGGGCAAGUACCCCUCCUUGCCCUCCGCUAGCGGGAAUCCAGUGCUCAUUGUGCCUCAAAAGUUCCCCCUGCCUCAGCUUCCUGCUCCUUCCUCUCCCACAUCCAUCCUCCCUGUACUGUUCACAGUGCUGCUUACUGAAACUGCAGGAGGACUGGGC
rnacentral:lncRNA from 1 species